CCUGCCUUCCUCCCAAAGAACCCGCAUCCGCUGCCGCCGCCGCCGCGGUAUCCCUAAGUAUCCAAAGGAGCGAACCAUGGCCGCCGCCCACCACCAGGAGCAGCAGCAGGCGCUCGAGGGCGUCGAUCCCCCACCGCCGAUUGCGCUAGUAAGCUCUGUUUCGGCAGAGGCUCCAUACGCCCGAGGACGAGUUCAAAGCCUUCCAAGACCGUCGGUAUGAGCCAGUCAAGAAAGGCUUUCCCAUCCCAAAAGGGGCAAACAAACUGGAGGAGUCCACUUGGCUGUUUGACAAAAAUAAGCACUCAACCGGCCUUGUGCUGGGCGAUCUGCUUAAGCGUGCUAUCUUCUACCAGAACAAUCUGAUUGCUGAUAAGAGAAGGGAAAUGCUGAAGGUAAUGACCUCCAGCAACAAGAACCGCCAAUACCUCCUUCGGCUCGGAAGUCAGCAUAAGGGCCUAGUGGAUAGGCUGGAAAACAUGUUGACGGAUUUCCACGCCGUUAUCCUAAAUGUGGUUCUUGAAAUGCCGGAGCAUUUCAGGGCGCUACCCAAGCUUCAAGAGUAGAGGUUAUUUUAUCAAGAUUUUGGCGACGCUGCUUCAUGAAUUAGAAUUUAUCUUAUGUUAUCUAUAUCUACCGGUAGUGUUAUCAUUUUGAGCUCCUUAGUGAGUGUUGGUCAUGCCCUGAGCCUAUAGAGGUUCUUUUGUAGAGACCCUUGUGCCUGUAGAGAUUCUUCUGUCGAGACUUUGGCACUGCUCUUUUAUGACUGAUAAUUUAUCUUAUGUUGGUGGUUUUUAUCAUUUUGAGCUCCAUAUUGAGUGUUUGUCAGGCCUUGUGCCUGCUGGUUGGAUUGUUUCAACCAGAAUAUUUAUAUGUGGUAUGAGAUCUUUUGUGUGGUUAAAA